rnacentral:misc_RNA from 1 species
AAAAUAAUCCUACCCUUUGUGAAUUUUGUUUGUUUGAAUAAUUUUUUUUUUUAAAAAAUUAUUGGAGUCUUUCCCUUUAGAGUUUGCUUUUGAGUUUGUAAAGAAUUCGAAAACAUCUAAAGGGGAUGGUCAAUAAUUUUUUUUGAAAAAGACAUUUUUUAAAAUUAAACUUUUUGUAUUCAUUUGUCUAAAAAUUAUUUUUAUAAUAUAAAACAACUUUUGACAAUGGAUCUCUUGGUUCUCGCAACGAUGAAGAACGCAGCAAAAUGCGAUAAGUAGUGUGAAUUGCAGAAUACGUGAAUCAUCGAAUCUUUGAACGCAUAUUGCACUUUUUUAGUUUUACUAAAAAAGUAUGUCUGUUGAGUAUCAGUAAAAUAUUCUCAUAAAAAUCAUUGUGUAUUUUAUGGUUAUGAGUGUUUUACAACGAUACAAGUUGUUUCACUUUAAAUUUUUUUUAAUAUUGAAAUUUUUCUAAUUUUAAUAAUUAAAAUUGGAUAAAGUUUUCCCGUCAAAAGGAAUAACCUAAACAAUUUUAAACGAUUAAUUUUAGCAAAAUUUUCGUAAAAAAGGAAAAUUUUUAUUAAAAUAACUUGAUCUCAAAUCAGAUAAGAAGUACCCGCUGAACUUAAGCAUAUCAAUAAGUGGAGGAAAAGAACUAACAAGGAUUCCCUAGUAACGGCGAGUGAAGCGGGAAGAGCUCAAAUUUGAAAUCUUGAAAGGUACCUUUCACGAAUUGUAGUUUAAAGAAGUGUUCUCUGUUACGAUCGUAAUAUAAGUUCUUUGGAAUAGGACAUCACAGAGGGUGAGAAUCCCGUCUAUGAUUGCGAUUUGUAGCUUUGUGAUACACUUUCAAAGAGUCGGGUUGUUUGGGAAUGCAGCCCAAAACGGGAGGUAAAUUUCUUCUAAAGGCUAAAUAUUGGCGAGAGACCGAUAGCGAACAAGUACCGUGAGGGAAAGAUGAAAAGAACUUUGAAAAGAGAGUUAAAUAGUACGUGAAAUUGUCAAAAGGGAAGCGUUUAACACCAGUGUUGUUUUCUGAAAAUCAACCUCUGUUAGCUUUAUGCAUGUUUGUUUAGACCUAAUCAGCUAUCUUGCAUGUUCUAAUUGUUUGCAGUGGUGCACUUUUCAGUUUACAGGUCAACAUCAGUUUUUUUUUACCGUAAAAAAGUUAAGAAAGGUAGCUCAUGGCUCCGGUCGUGAGUGUUAUAGUCUUUUUCCUAUGCGGUAGGAGAGACUGAGGUCUGCAGUGUAGGCUACUUGGCUAGAUACUCAGGUGCUAUGUGAUACCAUUUCAUAAACAACUGGUUGAUUAUGUUUUGUCUAUUGCAUACUCGCUUGUACUAUCA